ensembl:lncRNA
CAUUCAGGUAAAAACAACAAUGUAUAGGACUGAAAUAACACUUCUAAGGAGAAGUAAAUAAAGAUAACAUUUCCAUUUUUGUGGUCUGACCUUUUAAGACAUGUCCAGUGUAUUUCAGGUGUAUUUAAUUACGACCCCUUCAUUCACAGAAAGACUACAUUAUGUUUAUAUGACAAUGUAAUAUAGAAAUGAUCAUGGGAGGGUGUUUCUGUAUUUGUAUGUGUCCUCAGUUUGGGAGUAUUUGUUUUUAUAGCUGGAGACAUGCUGAGUGACUAAGCAUAAUGAUUGUAGGUCCCUGUGGUGAGUGGUCUGUCCUGCCAGUGUGUGAUAAGUAAGCCAGAUCCCCAGAUGCACACUCACUCUUUCUCCUCUAUCUUCUCUCUCUCUCUCUGAGGGGAUCUACUGAAGAGAAGCUAACCACUUCAUGCAUGCUCUCCUGAUGCUGUCUAGCUUAAACAGGCCUGAAACAAAACCCAGGGGAUACACAGUCACACAAGACAUUGAUUCAGGUACCGCACCAGUUACCACCUUUGCUAAUCCAGUGGCCCUUUGCAAUCAGGACAUCUGGCCGUCCAUAGGGGUGGCUGAGGGCAUUCCUGACUGGAGCGGUGUACAGCUGACCUUUAUCUGCCUCAUUAGGGCUGGUGUUAUGUGUGUGGACAGAUGGCCUUGCUGGAGGGCUGCAGAUCCACACACCAGUGCCUUGUCAACCUCUUUACACGUGUAUCAGCUCGUAUUGCUUUGGAGAUAA